rnacentral:rRNA from 2 species
UAGCGGCGAGCGAACGGGGAGGAGCCCAGAGCCUGAAUCAGUGUGUGUGUUAGUGGAAGCGUCUGGAAAGGCGCGCGAUACAGGGUGACAGCCCCGUACACAAAAAUGCACAUAUUGUGAGCUCGAUGAGUAGGGCGGGACACGUGGUAUCCUGUCUGAAUAUGGGGGGACCAUCCUCCAAGGCUAAAUACUCCUGACUGACCGAUAGUGAACCAGUACCGUGAGGGAAAGGCGAAAAGAACCCCGGCGAGGGGAGUGAAAAAGAACCUGAAACCGUGUACGUACAAGCAGUGGGAGCCUCUUAAUGGGGUGACUGCGUACCUUUUGUAUAAUGGGUCAGCGACUUAUAUUCUGUAGCAAGGUUAACCGAAUAGGGGAGCCGAAGGGAAACCGAGUCUUAACUGGGCGUUAAGUUGCAGGGUAUAGACCCGAAACCCGGUGAUCUAGCCAUGGGCAGGUUGAAGGUUGGGUAACACUAACUGGAGGACCGAACCGACUAAUGUUGAAAAAUUAGCGGAUGAUUUGUGGCUGGGGGGGAAAGGCCAAUCAAACCGGGAGAUAGCUGGUUCUCCCCGAAAGCUAUUUAGGUAGCGCCUCGUGAAUUCAUCUCCGGGGGUAGAGCACUGUUUCGGCAAGGGGGUCAUCCCGACUUACCAACCCGAUGCAAACUGCGAAUACCGGAGAAUGUUAUCACGGGAGACACACGGCGGGUGCUAACGUCCGUCGUGAAGAGGGAAACAACCCAGACCGCCAGCUAAGGUCCCAAAGUCAUGGUUAAGUGGGAAACGAUGUGGGAAGGCCCAGACAGCCAGGAUGUUGGCUUAGAAGCAGCCAUCAUUUAAAGAAAGCGUAAUAGCUCACUGGUCGAGUCGGCCUGCGCGGAAGAUGUAACGGGGCUAAACCAUGCACCGAAGCUGCGGCAGCGACGCUUAUGCGUUGUUGGGUAGGGGAGCGUUCUGUAAGCCUGUGAAGGUGGCCUGUGAGGGUUGCUGGAGGUAUCAGAAGUGCGAAUGCUGACAUAAGUAACGAUAAAGCGGGUGAAAAGCCCGCUCGCCGGAAGACCAAGGGUUCCUGUCCAACGUUAAUCGGGGCAGGGUGAGUCGACCCCUAAGGCGAGGCCGAAAGGCGUAGUCGAUGGGAAACAGGUUAAUAUUCCUGUACUUGGUGUUACUGCGAAGGGGGGACGGAGAAGGCUAUGUUGGCCGGGCGACGGUUGUCCCGGUUUAAGCGUGUAGGCUGGUUUUCCAGGCAAAUCCGGAAAACCAAGGCUGAGGCGUGAUGACGAGGCACUACGGUGCUGAAGCAACAAAUGCCCUGCUUCCAGGAAAAGCCUCUAAGCAUCAGGUAACAUCAAAUCGUACCCCAAACCGACACAGGUGGUCAGGUAGAGAAUACCAAGGCGCUUGAGAGAACUCGGGUGAAGGAACUAGGCAAAAUGGUGCCGUAACUUCGGGAGAAGGCACGCUGAUAUGUAGGUGAAGCGACUUGCUCGUGGAGCUGAAAUCAGUCGAAGAUACCAGCUGGCUGCAACUGUUUAUUAAAAACACAGCACUGUGCAAACACGAAAGUGGACGUAUACGGUGUGACGCCUGCCCGGUGCCGGAAGGUUAAUUGAUGGGGUUAGCGGUAACGCGAAGCUCUUGAUCGAAGCCCCGGUAAACGGCGGCCGUAACUAUAACGGUCCUAAGGUAGCGAAAUUCCUUGUCGGGUAAGUUCCGACCUGCACGAAUGGCGUAAUGAUGGCCAGGCUGUCUCCACCCGAGACUCAGUGAAAUUGAACUCGCUGUGAAGAUGCAGUGUACCCGCGGCAAGACGGAAAGACCCCGUGAACCUUUACUAUAGCUUGACACUGAACAUUGAGCCUUGAUGUGUAGGAUAGGUGGGAGGCUUUGAAGUGUGGACGCCAGUCUGCAUGGAGCCGACCUUGAAAUACCACCCUUUAAUGUUUGAUGUUCUAACGUGGGCCCCUAAUCGGGGUUGCGGACAGUGUCUGGUGGGUAGUUUGACUGGGGCGGUCUCCUCCUAAAGAGUAACGGAGGAGCACGAAGGUUGGCUAAUCCUGGUCGGACAUCAGGAGGUUAGUGCAAUGGCAUAAGCCAGCUUGACUGCGAGCGUGACGGCGCGAGCAGGUGCGAAAGCAGGUCAUAGUGAUCCGGUGGUUCUGAAUGGAAGGGCCAUCGCUCAACGGAUAAAAGGUACUCCGGGGAUAACAGGCUGAUACCGCCCAAGAGUUCAUAUCGACGGCGGUGUUUGGCACCUCGAUGUCGGCUCAUCACAUCCUGGGGCUGAAGUAGGUCCCAAGGGUAUGGCUGUUCGCCAUUUAAAGUGGUACGCGAGCUGGGUUUAGAACGUCGUGAGACAGUUCGGUCCCUAUCUGCCGUGGGCGCUGGAGAACUGAGGGGGGCUGCUCCUAGUACGAGAGGACCGGAGUGGACGCAUCACUGGUGUUCGGGUUGUCAUGCCAAUGGCACUGCCCGGUAGCUAAAUGCGGAAGAGAUAAGUGCUGAAAGCAUCUAAGCACGAAACUUGCCCCGAGAUGAGUUCUCCCUGAGACUUAGAGUCUCCUGAAGGAACGUUGAAGACGACGACGUUGAUAGGCCGGGUGUGUAAGCGCAGCGAUGCGUUGAGCUAACCGGUACUAAUGAACCGUGAGGCUUAACCUU